rnacentral:rRNA from 1 species
GACGAACCGAGCGAACGUUGUUCGGAAUCACUGGGCUUAAAGGGCGCGUAGGCGGGUGCUCAAGUCCGUGGUGAAAUCCUCCGGCUCAACCGGAGAACUGCCUCGGAUACUGGGUGCCUCGAGGGUGGUAGGGGUAUGCGGAACUAUCGGUGGAGCGGUGAAAUGCGUUGAUAUCGAUAGGAACUCCGGUGGCGAAGGCGGCAUACUGGACCACCUCUGACGCUGAGGCGCGAAAGCCGGGGGAGCAAACGGG